rnacentral:sRNA from 1 species
AAAACCAACUUUGAUCUUAUCGUUCCUAAAAGAAUUCCGCGUGACAUUUUUUACAAAAAAGCUUAUAUUUUAUUUCGCACAUAGAAAAGUGAAUUAAAUCUACAACUUGUGGAAAAACCUGUUGAAAAAUGGUUAAAAAGUGGAUAACUCAUGGGGAUCAUGAUAAAAACAGGGUUUUUUGGCUUAUUUUCUGAGUAUUAAUACUGCAUCAAUAAAUUAUUAAAUGUAGUUUAAUAAUCAAUAAAACUUACUGAAACAACAAUG